GAUGAACGCUGGCGGCGUGCCUAAUACGUGCAAGUCGAACGAACGGACGAGAAGCUUGCUUCUCUGAUGUUAGCGGCGGACGGGUGAGUAACACGUGGAUAACCUACCUAUAAGACUGGGAUAACUUCGGGAAACCGGAGCUAAUACCGGAUAAUAUUUUGAACCGCAUGGUUCAGAAGUGAAAGACGGUCUUGCUGUCACUUAUAGAUGGAUCCGCGCUGCAUUAGCUAGUUGGUAAGGUAACGGCUUACCAAGGCAACGAUGCAUAGCCGACCUGAGAGGGUGAUCGGCCACACUGGAACUGAGACACGGUCCAGACUCCUACGGGAGGCAGCAGUAGGGAAUCUUCCGCAAUGGGCGAAAGCCUGACGGAGCAACGCCGCGUGAGUGAUGAAGGUCUUCGGAUCGUAAAACUCUGUUAUUAGGGAAGAACAUAUGUGUAAGUAACUGUGCACAUCUUGACGGUACCUAAUCAGAAAGCCACGGCUAACUACGUGCCAGCAGCCGCGGUAAUACGUAGGUGGCAAGCGUUAUCCGGAAUUAUUGGGCGUAAAGCGCGCGUAGGCGGUUUUUUAAGUCUGAUGUGAAAGCCCACGGCUCAACCGUGGAGGGUCAUUGGAAACUGGAAAACUUGAGUGCCGAAGAGGAAAGUGGAAUUCCAUGUGUAGCGGUGAAAUGCGCAGAGAUAUGGAGGAGCACCAGUGGCGAAGGCGACUUUCUGGUCUGUAACUGACGCUGAUGUGCGAAAGCGUGGGGAUCAAACAGGAUUAGAUACCCUGGUAGUCCACGCCGUAAACGAUGAGUGCUAAGUGUUAGGGGGUUUCCGCCCCUUAGUGCUGCAGCUAACGCAUUAAGCACUCCGCCUGGGGAGUACGACCGCAAGGUUGAAACUCAAAGGAAUUGACGGGGACCCGCACAAGCGGUGGAGCAUGUGGUUUAAUUCGAAGCAACGCGAAGAACCUUACCAAAUCUUGACAUCCUUUGACAACUCUAGAGAUAGAGCCUUCCCCUUCGGGGGACAAAGUGACAGGUGGUGCAUGGUUGUCGUCAGCUCGUGUCGUGAGAUGUUGGGUUAAGUCCCGCAACGAGCGCAACCCUUAAGCUUAGUUGCCAUCAUUAAGUUGGGCACUCUAAGUUGACUGCCGGUGACAAACCGGAGGAAGGUGGGGAUGACGUCAAAUCAUCAUGCCCCUUAUGAUUUGGGCUACACACGUGCUACAAUGGACAAUACAAAGGGCAGCGAAACCGCGAGGUCAAGCAAAUCCCAUAAAGUUGUUCUCAGUUCGGAUUGUAGUCUGCAACUCGACUACAUGAAGCUGGAAUCGCUAGUAAUCGUAGAUCAGCAUGCUACGGUGAAUACGUUCCCGGGUCU
rnacentral:rRNA from 1 species